rnacentral:rRNA from 1 species
AUGUCACGAAUAAACUUUGGAGUCAUUACCAUGAUCCUCAAAGUAGUUGGGGUGAUGGACAUUAGGCACUUCAGUCCUAUCAUAGUUAUCAACGUUCUCGAAGGCAUCUUAUCUAAAGUUUGCGCGACUAGACUAGCCCUGGUAGCUGAGCGGUUGGACCACCCACUUCAGACGGCAUUUUUGAAGGGUUGCCGGAUUCAUGAUGGGAUCUUGGCCCUUCAUGAGAUUGUCCACGAGGUCCAGACGUGCGAACAUAAGGGCGUCUUUCUCAAGUUGGAUUUCCAGAAAGCCUAGGAUCAGCUGGACUGGACCUUCUUGCGGUUAGUCUUGCAGCAUAGAGGCUUUGAGGACAAAUGGUGCAAUUGUAUUAUGCAGUUGGUGCAGUCUGGCAAGACGGCGAUUAAAAUUAAUGGUGAGGUGGGGCCAUUAUUUACGUCCUUAGUGGGAGUGAAGCAAGGGGAUCUGAUCUCCCCUCUUCUCUUCAAUCUUGCGUUGAUGCAUUGGCGGGAAUCCUGGAUAAAGCUAGGAGGGUUGGCCACCUCUCGGGGGUAG